rnacentral:piRNA from 1 species
UAACAAGUGGAAUGGAACUCAAAGACAA